rnacentral:lncRNA from 1 species
GAGUGAAAUGAAGAAAAUAAUAGAAUAAACUUCUUGUUUGUUUAUUCAAAUUCGCUUAUCUCUUUAAUUCUUAAUGUACAGUAUUUAUAGACUUUAGUGACUACCCUGAAUUUAGCAACAACCUUACCAAACUCACUAACUAACUAACAACUCCUAUUCUCUAAUAUUCAUCCAUCUUCUCCACAGACAAGACCCGUAUAAAACUCCGAAAACGAGUAAAACUCGAUAGCGAAAGUGGCUUAGUGAGAACAUCAGCAACCUGAUCACACACUGAAACCUC